rnacentral:tRNA from 1 species
GAAACUUAGGUUCACCCAAACCGAAG